rnacentral:rRNA from 1 species
CGGGAGGCAGCAGUGGGGAAUAUUGCACAAUGGGCGCAAGCCUGAUGCAGCCAUGCCGCGUGUAUGAAGAAGGCCUUCGGGUUGUAAAGUACUUUCAGCGGGGAGGAAGGUGUUGCGGUUAAUAACCGCAGCAAUUGACGUUACCCGCAGAAGAAGCACCGGCUAACUCCGUGCCAGCAGCCGCGGUAAUACGGAGGGUGCAAGCGUUAAUCGGAAUUACUGGGCGUAAAGCGCACGCAGGCGGUCUGUCAAGUC